GGCAGACUCCCUAGCAGUGCCCAGCAUGCAGCCAGCACAGAGGAGCAUGGGAAACCAUUGCCGGAUGUGGUCUUGGGGAGGUAAGUCCCUGAGCCCCACUUCCUCCUCUGUCUGAGGGAGCAGACUGCCCCAGAGCCAGAGAGGGAAGGUAGCAUUGAGAGGCAUACUGCAAAGGACCAGGAACCUGCAAGCAAGUACACAUUGCUGCAUGGCUGUGUCAGGUCCCUGGGAGUGACUGCAGGGGCCAACUUCUUCCAGGUCUUCUCCCACCCCUGGCCCACCUCCACUCCCGGCUGAAAGCAUAGAAGGGACCACCACCUUGGAAAACAGCUUGGCAGUUUUAGAUAAGGUUAGAAAUUUCUAGUAAGGCUGAACUCUUGGCCUGUAAGCGAACAACCCCACGCCCAAGUACUGAGACUCAGAAUCCUACCCCCUUGUGCAAGAAUGUGAAUGGCCGCACAAUUCGUGGCAGCUAAAAAUGGAAACAGCCUGGUUGUAUCAACAGGAAAAUAGAAGGCGAAUGAUUGCUGCUCUCACAAAAGGACUCCUGGGAUGCGCAGAACCACGAGGGAACUCAGAACACCCUGGGGAGGAAGGGCUUCCUGUAGCCUGGGAUGGCCUCUAGCUACCGCGCCAGCACGGUCUGGAACCACGAGUCUCGGCGGAGGGUGUCCAGGUUGAAUGAAAUCCACAGAGCACGAGGUUGAGGUUGUCCGAGCCACUCCUGCAGCUCUCUGCAGCUCUUCCUGUGGAGAUCAAGGACAGCAGUGUGGAGCCAGUUCUCUCUUUCUACAAGACCGAGGGCUAGAACUCGGGUCAUCAGGCUUUCCAGACCAGCACUUUGACCAGCUACACCCUCUCUGGGACUUUAAAAAUUGAACUCUUGUCCGUGAGCAUACUAGCUAGGUAGGCACUCUCCACCACCACCACCGCCAGCCACUCCCCAACCUUGUACUUUUCCAGAAGGAAAACUUUUCCCCAAGCAGCAGGUGCUGUCACGUGUGUUUGGUCAGCACCGGCCCCAUGCCAUUUUAGAUGGCUUGCACCACCAGGUCAAGAUCUAUGAAACCAUAAUCCAAAGCAACUCUUUUUUCUAAAUUGACUCUCCGGAGUGUCUUCUUGCAAGGAGAACUCUGAGACUCUCAUCUCUUGUGGAAGUCCUCUUUGCCCUCUUUCUGGGGAAUCCCUGGUCCCACUGAGGCAGUUACAGAUGCAUUUCUGCUCCCACAUACUGGCCAGGCUGUCUUUGAACUUCAUGUGAACGGGUCAUACAGUGAGUUUGAUCUCUUUCCUUAAGCAGAAGGACACAAGAUGGAGCGACUAGUGUAGGCUCUCUCUCUCUCUUUCUCUCUCUGUGUGUGUGUGUGUGUUGUAGCAGUCAAGCCUUUUGUUGUUAAGCAGUAAACGUCUGCUCUAUGAUGAACCAGUUUCUGUUUUUGCUGUUGAGGCACAAUUGGGGUGUGAUCACCUUAUCAGUUUCAAGGUUGGGGUGUAGUUAGUAGUGCAAGGCUGGUCUUGGGGCUGGAGUCCUCCUGACCUUCACUUCCCCAGUACUGGGAUUGCAGUCUACCCAAGACUCCUCCUGAUUUUAUAUAAACUGAGUUAAUAGAAUCCUAGCAGCCCUCAGGAAAUAAGAGGAUCGCCAAAAGUUCAAGGCUAGCCUGAUCUACAUUGAGAAUUCCAGGCUAGCCAGGACUAUAUUGCAAGAGUUUGUCUGGGGUUGUAUGUAUGUAUGUAUUUAAUUUAUUUAAUGUACAUUGGUGUACAUUAUGUACAUUAUUUUUUGCCUGCAUGUGUA